AUUGAACGCUGGCGGCAGGCCUAACACAUGCAAGUCGAGCGAGCGGCGGACGGGUGAGUAAUGUCUGGGAAACUGCCUGAUGGAGGGGGAUAACUACUGGAAACGGUAGCUAAUACCGCAUACCAUCAGAUGUGCCCAGAUGGGAUUAGCUGGUAGGUGGGGUAACGGCUCCCCUAGGCGACGAUCCCUAGCUGGUCUGAGAGGAUGCCCAGCCAGACUGGAGAGGAGACACGGUCCAGACUCCUACGGGAGGCAGCAGUGGGGAAUCUUUCACGAUGGGCGCAAGCCUGAUGCAGCCAUGCCGCGUGUGAGAAGAAGGUCUUCGGGUUGUAAAGCACUUUCGGCGGGGAAGCGUUACCCGCAGAAGAAACACCGGCUAACUUCGUACCAGCGACCGCGGUAAUAC
rnacentral:rRNA from 1 species